GAUGAACGCUAGCGGCAGGCUUAAUACAUGCAAGUCAAGGGGGUAGCAAUACAACCGGCGCACGGGUGAGUAACGCGUACACAACAUACCAUAUACUGGGGUAUAGCUUUGGGAACUGAAGGUAAUCCCCCAUAACAUUGCGAGAGGGCAUCUGAUUGCAAUUAAAGUUUCGGCGGUAUAUGAUUGGUGUGCGUUUGAUUAGCUAGUUGGUAGGGUAACGCCUACCAGGCGACGAUCAAUAGCUGGCGUGAGAGCGCGACCAGCCACACUGGAACUGAGCACGGUCCAGACUCCUACGGGAGGCAGCAGUA
rnacentral:rRNA from 1 species